rnacentral:rRNA from 1 species
UACAGAGGUCUCAAGCGUUGUUCGGAUUCAUUGGGCGUAAAGGGUGCGUAGGUGGCGCCGUAAGUCAGGUGUGAAAUUUCGGGAGCUUAACUCCGAAACUGCAUUUGAUACUGCGGUGCUUGAGGACUGGAGAGGGAGACUGGAAUUUAACGGUGUAGCAGUGAAAUGCGUAGAGAUCGUAAGGAAGACCAGUGGCGAAGGCGGGUCUCUGG